rnacentral:rRNA from 1 species
GAUGAACGCUGGCGGCGUGCCUAAUACAUGCAAGUCGAGCGAACAGACGAGGAGCUUGCUCCUCUGACGUUAGCGGCGGACGGGUGAGUAACACGUGGAUAACCUACCUAUAAGACUGGGAUAACUUCGGGAAACCGGAGCUAAUACCGGAUAAUAUAUUGAACCGCAUGGUUCAAUAGUGAAAGACGGUUUUGCUGUCACUUAUAGAUGGAUCCGCGCCGCAUUAGCUAGUUGGUAAGGUAACGGCUUACCAAGGCAACGAUGCGUAGACGACCUGAGAGGGUGGUAGGCCACACUGGAACGGAGACACGGUCCAGACUCCUAAGGGAGGCAGCAGUAGGGAAUCUGACGCAAUGGGCGAAAGCAUGACGGAGCAACGCCGCGUGAGUGAUGAAGGUCUUCGGAUCGUAAAACUCUGUUAUUAGGGAAGAACAAAUGUGUAAGUAACUAUGCACGUAUUGACGGUACCUAAUCAGAAAGCAACGGCUAACUACGUG